rnacentral:rRNA from 1 species
GGAUUAGAUACCCUGGUAGUCCACGCCGUAAACGAUGGGUACUAGGUGUUGGCUUUGCUUACGGGUAGAGUCGGUGCCGCAGUUAACGCACUAAGUACCCCGCCUGGGGAGUACGCCCGCAAGGGUGAAACUCAAAGGAAUUGACGGGGGCCCGCACAAGCGGUGGAGCAUGUGGUUUAAUUCGAUGCAACGCGCAGAACCUUACCGGGGCUUAAACUGUCAGGUAAACCCUAUGAAAGUAGGACUGCUCUUCGGAGCGACCUGAUAGAGGUGUUGCAUGGCCGUCGUCAGCUCGUGUUG